ensembl:snoRNA
GUUCUUUUAUGGUUCAUAAGCAUUAUGACUGGAUUUUUGUGCUACUGUAUGAGAUGUGCCUCCCUCAGAUCUUGUUAUGACAUCAGCAAUUCUAUCAAUUCACU